CAAAGGGUUCGAUUCUGGCUCAGAACGAACGCUGGCGGCGCGUCUUAAGCAUGCAAGUCGAACGGCAAGGAAGUGCUUGCACUUCCCUAGAGUGGCGGACUGGUGAGUAACACGUGGGUGACAUACCUUUAGUUGGGGAUAGCUAUUAGAAAUAGUAGAUAAUACCGAAUGUGACCAUUACAGUUAGAGUGUAAUGAGGAAAGGAGCUAAGGCUCCGCUAGAAGAUUGGCCCGCGGCCCAUUAGCUAGUUGGUGAGGUAACGGCCCACCAAGGCAAUGAUGGGUAUCCGGCCUGAGAGGGUGAUCGGACACAUUGGGACUGAGAUACGGCCCAGACUCCUACGGGAGGCAGCAGCUAAGAAUAUUCCACAAUGGACGAAAGUCUGAUGGAGCGACGCCGCGUGGAAUGAUGAAGGCCGAAAGGUUGUAAAAUCCUUUUAAACUGGAAGAAUAAUCAUGGUAGGGAAUGACCGUGAGGUGACCGUACAGUUUGAAUAAGCAACGGCUAAUUACGUGCCAGCCGCGGC
rnacentral:rRNA from 1 species